UAUAGGGUGUGGGGAGGGAUAUGGGGUAUAGGGGGGGAUAUAUGGGGGAUAAAUGGGGUGGAAUGCCAGCAAUCCCAAAGCAGUUUUUGUUCCCCCCCCCACCCCCAUCCCCCAUCCAGGUUUCAUCAGGCGGACCCACAGCAGUGGGGCAAAACCCACAGAGCUCUCCAUAGGGCUUCUAUGGGGUGGGAUGGGGCUGCCCUAUAUGGGACGGGGCCGCCCUAUAUGGGAUGGGGGGGGGGGGGGGGAUUUGGGGGGGGUUGGGGGGUUGCAGGAGCUCCAUGCUGUGCAAUGCUGGCAUUAAACUGCUGCAGGAUGGCGUGGGUUGUUUGCAGUGUGUGCAAAGGGGGGGGUUGCAAAUGGGUUUGGGGUUUGCAGCUGCAUUUUGGGGGCUGCAGGGUGUUUGCAACCUGAGCUCUGGGUUUGCAGAUGGGUUUGGGGUUUGCAGGUGCUCUGUGGGUUUUGCACAGUGUUUGCAAUGCAUGCUUGGGAUUUGCAGCUGGGUUUGGGGUCUGCAGGGUGUUUGCACGGUGUUUGCAACUGGGUUUGGGGUUUGCAGCUGCAUUUUGGGGUUUGCAGGGUGUUUGCAACCUGAGCUCUGGGUUUGCUGCUGCAUUUUGGGGUUUGCAGGUGCUCUUUGGGUUUUGCACACUGUUUGCAAUGCAUGCUUGGGAUUU
rnacentral:lncRNA from 1 species